ensembl:snRNA U6 U6 spliceosomal RNA
GUGCUCACUUCGGCAGCACAUAUACUGAAAUUGGAAUGAUAUAGAGGAGAUUAGCAUGGCCCCUGUGCAAGGAUGACAUGCAAAUUCGUGAAGCGUUCCAUAUGAAA